UACGUAGGGUGCAAGCGUUAAUCGGAAUUACUGGGCGUAAAGCGUGCGCAGGCGGUUUUGUAAGUCUGUCGUGAAAUCCCCGGGCUCAACCUGGGAAUUGCGAUGGAGACUGCAAGGCUGGAGUCUGGCAGAGGGGGGUAGAAUUCCACGUGUAGCAGUGAAAUGCGUAGAGAUGUGGAGGAACACCGAUGGCGAAGGCAGCCCCCUGGGUCAAGACUGACGCUCAUGCACGAAAGCGUGGGGAACAAACAGG
rnacentral:rRNA from 1 species